AGCAAUACUGAGUGGCAGACGGGUGAGUAUAAUGUGGGUAUCUGCCUUUUGGUUUGGAAUAACUCGGGGAAACUUGAGCUAAUACCGAAUAAGCCCUUACGGGGAAAGAUUUAUCGCCGAAAGAUGAGCCCGCACUUGAUUAGCUUGUUGGUGAGGUAAAAGCUCACCAAGGCAACGAUCAAUAGCUGUUCUUAGAGGAAGACCAGCCACAUUGGGACUGAGACACGGCCCAGACUCCUACGGGAGGCAGCAGUAGGGAAUCUUGCACAAUGGGGGAAACCCUGAUGCAGCGAUGCCGCGUGAGUGAAGAAGGCCUUUGGGUUGUAAAACUCUUUCGUCGGGGAAGAAAAUGACGGUACCCGAAUAAG
rnacentral:rRNA from 1 species